rnacentral:rRNA from 1 species
AGACCCGAAACCCGGUGAUCUAGCCAUGGGCAGGUUGAAGGUUGGGUAACACUAACUGGAGGACCGAACCGACUAAUGUUGAAAAAUUAGCGGAUGACCUGUGGCUGGGGGUGAAAGGCCAAUCAAACCGGGAGAUAGCUGGUUCUCCCCGAAAGCUAUUUAGGUAGCGCCUCGUGAAUUCAUCUCCGGGGGUAGAGCACUGUUUCGGCUAGGGGGCCAUCCCGGCUUACCAACCCGAUGCAAACUGCGAAUACCGGAGAAUGUUAUCACGGGAGACACACGGCGGGUGCUAACGUCCGUCGUGAAGAGGGAAACAACCCAGACCGCCAGCUAAGGUCCCAAAGUCAUGGUUAAGUGGGAAACGAUGUGGGAAGGCCCAGACAGCCAGGAUGUUGGCUUAGAAGCAGCCAUCAUUUAAAGAAAGCGUAAUAGCUCACUGGUCGAGUCGGCCUGCGCGGAAGAUGUAACGGGGCUAAACCAUGCACCGAAGCUGCGGCAGCGACACUCAGGUGUUGUUGGGUAGGGGAGCGUUCUGUAAGCCUGUGAAGGUGGCCUGUGAGGGUUGCUGGAGGUAUCAGAAGUGCGAAUGCUGACAUAAGUAACGAUAAAGCGGGUGAAAAGCCCGCUCGCCGGAAGACCAAGGGUUCCUGUCCAACGUUAAUCGGGGCAGGGUGAGUCGACCCCUAAGGCGAGGCCGAAAGGCGUAGUCGAUGGGAAACGGGUUAAUAUUCCCGUACUUGGUGUUACUGCGAAGGGGGGACGGAGAAGGCUAUGUUGGCCGGGCGACGGUUGUCCCGGUUUAAGCGUGUAGGCUGGUUUUCCAGGCAAAUCCGGAAAAUCAAGGCUGAGGCGUGACGACGAGGCACUACGGUGCUGAAGCAACAAAUGCCCUGCUUCCAGGAAAAGCCUCUAAGCAUCAGGUAACACGAAAUCGUACCCCAAACCGACACAGGUGGUCAGGUAGAGAAUACCAAGGCGCUUGAGAGAACUCGGGUGAAGGAACUAGGCAAAAUGGUGCCGUAACUUCGGGAGAAGG